rnacentral:rRNA from 1 species
GACGAACCGUGCGAACGUUGUUCGGAUUCACUGGGCUUAAAGGGCGCGUAGGCGGGUGAUCAAGUCCGGGGUGAAAUCCUUCAGCUCAACUGGAGAAUAGCCUUGGAUACUGGUCGCCUCGAGGGAGGUAGGGGCGGGCGGAACUUCCGGUGGAGCGGUGAAAUGCGUAGAUAUCGGAAGGAACGCCGGUGGCGAAAGCGGCCCGACUGGACCUCUUCUGACGCUGAGGCGCGAAAGCCAGGGGAGCGAACGGG